UACGUAGGGGGCAAGCGUUGUCCGGAAUCAUUGGGCGUAAAGCGCGUGUAGGCGGCUCGAUAAGUCCGCUCUGAAAGCCCGGGGCUCAACCCCGGGAGGCGGGCGGAAACUGUCGGGCUAGAGUCCGGAAGAGGCGAGUGGAAUUCCCGGUGUAGCGGUGAAAUGCGCAGAUAUCGUAAGGAAGACCAGUGGCGAAGGCGGGUCUCUGGACAGUUCCUGACGCUGAGGCACGAAGGCCAGGGGAGCAAACGGG
rnacentral:rRNA from 1 species